AACGAACGCUGGCGGCAGGCUUAACACAUGCAAGUCGAACGAACGUAGCAAUACGUUAGUGGCAGACGGGUGAGUAACGCGUGGGAAUAUGCCCUAUGGUUUGGAAUAACUCAGGGAAACUUGAGCUAAUACCGGAUAAGCCCGAGAGGGGAAAGAUUUAUCGCCAUUGGAGUAGCCCGCGUCUAAUUAGCUAGUUGGUGAGGUAAUGGCUCACCAAGGCGACGAUCAGGAGCUGGUCUGAGAGGAUGAUCAGCCACACUGGGACUGAGACACGGCCCAGACUCCUGCGGGAGGCAGCAGUGGGGAAUAUUGGACAAUGGGGGCAACCCUGAUCCAGCAAUGCCGCGUGAGUGAUGAAGGCCUUAGGGUUGUAAAACUCUUUUGUCCGGGAAGAUAAUGACUGUACCGGAAGAAUAAGCCCCGGCUAACUUCGUGCCAGCAGCCGCCGUAACAC
rnacentral:rRNA from 1 species